rnacentral:rRNA from 1 species
UGGGGAAUUUUCCGCAAUGGGCGAAAGCCUGACGGAGCAACGCCGCGUGAGGGACGAAGGCCUCUGGGCUGUAAACCUCUUUUCUCAAGGAAGAAGAUCUGACGGUACUUGAUGAAUAAGCCACGGCUAAUUCCGUGCCAGCAGCCGCGGUAAUUCGGGAGUGGCAAGCGUUAUCCGGAAUUAUUGGGCGUAAAGCGUCCGCAGGCGGUUUUACAGGUCUGUCGUUAAAACGUGGAGCUCAACUCCAUUUCGGCGAUGGAAACUGUAAGACUAGAGUGUGGUAGGGGCAGAGGGAAUUCCCGGUGUAGCGGUGAAAUGCGUAGAUAUCGGGAAGAACACCAGUGGCGAAGGCGCUCUGCUGGGCCAUAACUGACGCUCAUGGACGAAAGCUAGGGGAGCGAAAGGGAUUAGAUACCCCUGUAGUC